UCCCUUAACACCGGCCUCACACAGAUUAGAGAAAACUCUUCAUUGUACCAUCACCCUCAACGCUUGAAUGGGUUUCAAUUCCCUCCCUGCCCGAUUGAAAUUCCACUCAAUUUUCGCAUUGAAUGCAAUUGAAGAUUGAAUCUCAUUUAACCCUUACAAGAAACUGAAGAAGUUAAGACGUUCCUUUUAUUUACUCAUCGUCACCACCGUCACCGUUUACUUCAUCAACGGCAACAGUUACGAUCACCAAAUCUGUUGUUCCCCAAAUUCUCAUACCCAAAGACAAAAUCUGGCAUGAAAGGUGUCCUUGCAAAUGGUCAGAAUGUUGUGAACAAGCACAUUAUCAACGGUGGUGAAAAGAUAUAGUCAGAACAUGAAUCCAAUGUCUUUAAAUCGGCUAUCGAUUGUGCUCAGUGACUAUGGUUUCUUCACACGUACCCUGGAGGAUGCAGAGUUCAUCAUGAUUAAAGAUGACGAAUAUCUCCUAAUUAUGAACUUUCAAGCGAAGCCGGCCGACAAGGAUAAGCAUAAUGUCUAAGAAAGCAGCAGCUGUGAAAUACACAAUUUGACUUGGACCUAAUCUAAAAGGAUGGGAGGCUUCAAUCAUAUAUAAAAUCCGAGUCGAUCCCAGAAACCAAUGAUGAACCGGUGAAGGUGGUGGUUACCAACAACUUAAAGACAUGGUUUUGGACUCUAAAAAGAAUGAGAUCUAUGCAUCAUGGUGUGGACACUGCAAAUAACUAGCCGCAAUCUUAGAAGAAGUGGCUUUCUAAUUCGAGUAUGAUCCAGGUGUUAAUCAUCGCAAAACUCAAUAAAGACAUGUGGUGAGAGAGUAUGGGCAAUUGGGACACGAACUAAGCAUAUAUAUCGAGUAUGGUCGACGGAUCAAGAUUGGCCUGGACUUGCAAUGUCACGAGCUUUCGGGGAUUUUUGUUUGAAAGACUAUGGACUUAUAUCCGUUCUGAAUGUAUAUUAUCAUAAACUUACAGACCACCAUGAAUUUAUGGUCUUAGCAACUAAUGGAGUGUGGGAUGUGCUUAAAAAUGAUGAGGUGCUAAAGAUUAAUGGGUCAAUGAACAACAGAUCAAUGGCAGCAAGAUCUGUAGUUGAUCAUGCAGUGAAAGCUUAAUUGGAGACACAUGUACCCAGCUUCAAAAAUCGAUGAUUGCACGAUUCUAUUAUCUUUCAAGAAACGACUGUGUUUAGCCAACUCGGCCCGGAAGAGAUCAAUCUAGAGUAAACUGGACAUUCCAUCGCAGACCUGUUGCCCCGGCCGGAAAAUCCCCCCGCUGAUUCGCUGGCGACCAGCGUUGCUGCUUGCUCCUCUAGGUCAAACAAGGAACAUAUUAUUCAAACCGGCCAUGGGUCCGUGUCUGUAAUCGUGUAUGGAGACCAAGAAAAGCCACCCUUAAUUACAUAUCCACAUUUAGCUCUAAAUCAUAUGUUGUGUUUUCAAGGACUAUUCUUCUGUCCCGAAGCCGCUUCAUUGCUUCUUCAUAAUUUCUGCAUUUAUCACAUCAGUCCACCUGGAGACGAGCUUCCGGUUUGCUUGGAGACAGAGGGUCUCUCACGUUGACUUUUCCUGGUCCAAGUGCAACACUCGAGGUGCCAUAUUUCUUUCUUUACAAUAACAUGUUACCUUAACAUCUUCAUUAUUCAAGUUUAAUAUAUUAAUACUAAUGUUUCAGCUAUGGAGAUCAUCGUCUGAGUUCUGUGCUAUUAGAUCAAACCUAAUACGAAAUUCAUGGGUUUGGGUUUGGUAUAACCGGUUUCGGGUCAAUUUCAAUCGAACCCGCUUAGCUAAACGGGUCGUGUUUGGGUCGAAUCCAACGGAUUCGUGGGUUACCUUUAACCCAUUUAUAUUUUAAAAUGUAUAUUAUUUAUUGUUUUAAAUAUGUGAAUCAAAGUAACAACAAUUGAAAAAAAUAAGAAAAAACUUUUGGGUCAAAUGCGUUGUGUUUGGCUCACGCCCCAUAUUGUCGACUCCGCGGCAACGCGCGGGUUUCCCACUAAAGAUUUUAGUUACUAUGAUAAUAUAGAAUACAUUUUGUAUGUCUUUUAACCUGACUGACCCGUUUCCUUAACGUUGCAGCAUAUAUCCUUGAGCCCGGAUCGCAAACUCAUAGCUGUAGUUGGGGAUCAUCUUAAUGGAUUGCUUGUACACUCUUCAAAUGGAAAGCCAGGAACUUGUGAAUACAAUAUAUUAUUUUAACUCUUCAUUUUGAUUUUCUUAUUUUCUUUUUUAGAUAAUGUCAUCAUUCUUGGCUACUCAUAUUUUUUUUGGCAGAGGGCUGCCACAAUGGAAGGCCACCUAGACUACUUGUUUGCAUCUGCAUGGCAUCCAGAUGGCCGAAUCUUUGCUACAGGCAAUCAAGACAAGACUUGUAGGCUAUGGGAUAUAAGAAAUCUUGCAACCCCGGUCUCAGUUCUUAAAGGCAACAUGGUUGCGGUUCGAUCGGUUUGUUUUUCAUCAGACGGGCAGUUUUUGGUGGUUGCAGAAGCUGCGGAUUUUGUUCAUGUCUGCAAUACCAAGCUAAACUAUGAAAAACGCCAAGAGAUUGAUUUAUUUGGGGAGAUGGCUGGUGUCUCUCUUAGUCCUGAUGAUGAAACGCUUUACAUUGGCGUGCCGCACUGGAUUUAUUCGAGCUUGCUACAGUACAACAAACGACAUAGGUAUGGGUAUCUUGAUUCGUUUGUCUGAUAAAGAAAGCCGACUUGUUUGUUUCUGUUUGUUGGAAGAGACCAAGUAUCAUAUAAGACUUCCAUAAAAGAAAAAGUGUACCAAAAAUCUUUGAAGUUUAGAAAGGCUUGUUGAUAUUUAAAUUAUGUUUGGCUUAUGCGGGA